rnacentral:rRNA from 1 species
UACGGAGGGGGCGAGCGUUAUUCGGAAUUAUUGGGCGUAAAGGGCGCGUAGGCGGCUGUACAAGUCAAAGGUGAAAUCCCUCGGCUCAACUGAGGAACUGCCUUUGAAACUGUACGGCUUGAGGCCGGGAGGGGGUAGCGGAAUUCCCAGUGUAGCGGUGAAAUGCGUAGAUACUGGGAGGAACACCAGUGGCGAAGGCGGCUCACUGGUCCGGUACUGACGCUGAGGUGCGAAAGCGUGGGGAGCAAACAGG